UGGGGGAUAUUGCACAAUGGGCGAAAGCCUGAUGCAGCGACGCCGCGUGGGGGAUGAAGGCUUUCGGGUUGUAAACCUCUUUCGCUAUCGAACAAGGCCCGCUUAGGGUGGGUUGAGGGUAGGUGGAGAAGAAGCGCCGGCUAACUACGUGCCAGCAGCCGCGGUAAUACGUAGGGCGCGAGCGUUGUCCGGAAUUAUUGGGCGUAAAGGGCUUGUAGGCGGCUUGUUGCGCCUGCUGUGAAAACGCGGGGCUUAACUUCGCGCGUGCAGUGAGUACGGGCAGGCUUGAGUGUGGUAGGGGUGACUGGAAUUCCAGGUGUAGCGGUGGAAUGCGCAGAUAUCUGGAGGAACACCGAUGGCGAAGGCAGGUCACUGGGCCAUUACUGACGCUGAGGAGCGAAAGCAUGGGUAGCGAACAGG
rnacentral:rRNA from 1 species